rnacentral:rRNA from 1 species
UACGUAGGGGGCAAGCGUUGUCCGGAAUCAUUGGGCGUAAAGGGCGCGUAGGCGGCCCAGUAAGUCCGCUGUAAAAGUCAAAGGCUCAACCUUUGAAUGCCGGUGGAAACUGUCGGGCUGGAGUCCGGAAGAGGCGAGUGGAAUUCCUGGUGUAGCGGUGAAAUGCGCAGAUAUCAGGAGGAACACCAAUGGCGAAGGCAGCUCGCUGGGACGGUACUGACGCUGAGACGCGAAAGCGUGGGGAGCAAACAGG